rnacentral:rRNA from 1 species
AAGGGUGAGCUCAUCAAACUCACCGAGUCUCAUGCUCAACUUGAAGCUUCUUAUUUAAAAGAACUUCCCAAGUUGCCUUCUCCUCUUGUUGUUAAUGAUGAUGCUUGUGCUACUAACUCUAGUUCUUGUGAAGCAUCCAUUUUGAAGGAGAAUGUUGAGCUACGGGCUCAACUUGAGGUGCUAUCUAGUAAUUAUGGGAAAUUGGAAGAAAGUCAUGAAAAGAUCUCAAGCUUUCAUGAUGAUCUUCUAGUAUCACAUAGUGUACUAAAGAUAGCUCAUGAGGCCAUGAUUGUUAAGGUAACAUCUAGUGAGCCUCAUGUGGAUACUAGCACUACUUCUAGUCAAAAUAGUAUAUUGCCAUGUGCUAGUCCUUGUAAUUCAUCUACUCACAAUGUUGGUACAUCUUGCGAUGAGUUGCUUUCCUUGCCUUGUUGGUCU